ensembl:snRNA U6 U6 spliceosomal RNA
UUGCUUCCAUAGCACAUAUACUACAAUUAGAACAAUGCAGAGAAAGUUGCCAUGGUCAAUGUGCAAGGAUCACACAAACAUCUGUGAAGUGUUCUACAGUUUU